rnacentral:lncRNA from 1 species
AUUGGCGAAACUACACUACAAAAACCACCGAAAUACCUAGCACAUCACUUAACAAUUGGAACAUUCCGGCCCCAAGCAACACAUCUUACAUGUCAAUUAGUAGAGCUAACAUCACUAGGCCUAAUCAUCUCGAAUUUGUAAUAAAGAGAGAUGACAUUCGUUUGUGAAAAAAAGAGGGCAUUCACAUCCCAAAUUUGAAAUGUAUGCAAUCAGCAUCACAAUAUAAUUUGCUGGAGUUUCUGUCCCUAUCGAUUCCUCAACAUUUGCACGAGCCCAGAUUUUGGCUGACUUCGUUGAAGGGUAGCCAAUUGUCUAGGUUUGGCCAUGGUCAAGGAGGCGGCCUCCGACAGGUACGACGACAGGUCAUGCUGUGUAGGGAUAUUUGUUUUGAAUUCGAAUAUCCCAUAGCUGUGGAUGACAAAUAGAAGUUCAGCCAACAUUACCACUAACAUAAUAGAGAAAAAUCCCUACCUAAAUAUCUAUAAUAUAACAAGUUCGGCUAAUCUGACCAAGUUUCUCAAUAGCGAUCAGCUAUUUUUAAUUAUAUGCAUUUCCAUAUAAUAUUCACUGUUUCUUAUCCGCAGGCACAUUUCUUACUCUACAUAUCUCUGCAAAUACUGACCUGUAGUGAUUUAUUAUGAAAAAUUUAUACUGUAAUUUUUUAUAAUUGAAGUUUCUUGGCUUGUAGUUCAAUUUUUAGUGACUGUUAAAACGGAUAAAACAUCUCUACCUAAAUCUCUAUAAUAUAACUACAAGUUAACAUAUUCAUGAAGAUGAAAAUUAACUGUCUCUCAUGAAGAUGGGUUCGGCGUUCACUUCAGUAGUCGUGAAGGAGGGCGGCUAGGGUUAUGGUACAAUCUCAAUUGAGUUGUAC